UAGAAUAGGAAUUUUGAAAAAUUACUCACACACUCACUCGACCUCCUUUGCUUUCGACAAACCCUCCAUUCCUCUCAAACACUCACCUUCAAUUUCGUUUCAGGUAUCGAGACGAUCCAGUGCUUGCUCCAGGUUCUUUCUUUCCUUCUUCCUUGGAUCACUCUAACUUUCACGACAUUGUCAGCAAGCACGUCCAGUUCUACGCCCCAUGAUCUUUACACUGAAGAGUCCAGUAGGCCUCAGAAACGGUUUUCUUCUGCUAACCACUUCUUUUUUCUUAUGAAUUUCCCUUCAAGAUCUUAAUAAUACGUGUCACUCUUCAGAUCAGUGUCAAUUAUCAAUCACAUAAACUGUACUCUUAUCAAUAUGUUUUUACUUAAUGAAUGGUUUAAGAUGAUGAAAGCAAUUAAUUUUAUUAUUCACUCCCUGAAGAAUUGGUACUUUGAUUUUGCAAACAUGCAAGAUUUUGCAAAUUAUGCAGAAGUAUGCUUUAGGGAAUUUGGUGAUAGUGUUAAGCACUGGAGGUUAUGCAAGUGGUGGAUCCCCACCCAAUAGACGCUCCAAGUGUUUUGCUAACUGCACUGCUGGUGAUUCUACUUCUGAGCCGGUUACACACCACCUCAUACUUGCUCAUGCUGCAGCGGUAAAAGUCUACAGGGAGAAGUUCCAGAAAACACCUUGGAAUAGGAUGACAUUAAUUUGGAGCAUAGCCUUUGUACAUCCUUUGCACGAUAAAAUGCAAAUUUUAUUGCAUAAGAGAAAUUAAUUUACAACUUAUGUUGCUGAUACCUCAUUUCAGCCCCAAUUAUCAUAGGUAAAGCACACAACUGGAAGUUUCGUACAUUUUCUCUGUUGGGUCCCAGUGAUUUGAUUCAGGGGAAGAUCUUGAAAU